rfam:Triticum aestivum genome assembly, contig: Triticum_aestivum_CS42_TGACv1_scaffold_307590_4AS
ACUGAGGACUCCCAAGAGCUCUUAUCUACGGAGUCAUUUGGCACCUCGAUGUCGACUCAUCACAUCCUGGGGUUGGAAAAUUUUCUCAAGGGUUCAGUUGUUCGCCGAUGAAAGUGAUACAUGAGUUGGGUUUACAACAUCGUGAGAUAGAUC